GACGAACGCUGGCGGCGUGCUUAACACAUGCAAGUCGAACGGUAAGGCCCUUUCGGGGGUACACGAGUGGCGAACGGGUGAGUAACACGUGGGUGAUCUGCCCUGCACUUUGGGAUAAGCCUGGGAAACUGGGUCUAAUACCGGAUAGGACUACGCGAUGCAUGUCGUGUGGUGGAAAGCUUUUGCGGUGUGGGAUGGGCCCGCGGCCUAUCAGCUUGUUGGUGGGGUGAUGGCCUACCAAGGCGACGACGGGUAGCCGGCCUGAGAGGGUGUCCGGCCACACUGGGACUGAGAUACGGCCCAGACUCCUACGGGAGGCAGCAGUGGGGAAUAUUGCACAAUGGGCGCAAGCCUGAUGCAGCGACGCCGCGUGGGGGAUGACGGCCUUCGGGUUGUAAACCCCUUUCAGCACAGACGAAGCGUAAGUGACGGUAUGUGCAGAAGAAACACCGGCCAACUACGU
rnacentral:rRNA from 1 species